GAGAGAGAGGGAGCCAUCUCAACGAAGGGAACAUCUGAGUAUUAAUUGAAUCAUUUACUUGUGUAUGGACAUUUUUUGUAUUAAUUGAAGCAUAUAGUUGUGUAGUAGGUCUCGAUACCAUUCAUUAAGAACCACAACUGGACCGCCUGUUGAACCCACAGCAGCCGACGCUCGGCCCCUCGAGGGGAGGGAACACAGUGUGAGAGGAGUGACUUUCGUUCAAAAAAUCUCAAACUAGCCCACUACACACUGACUGACUGAGCUGGGGGCUAAGAGAAAAGCAACAAGCAGCCGAGGAGAACCGUAGCGUUCAACUUGAGUAGCACCCGGUACAGCAGGGCAUGGAGGGGGCCACCGUUGGACCGACACGGGAUAUAACGGGACCGGAGCGGUGGACAGGAGAGCGGUAAAGUGGUUCACAGAGCCGGGCGAGGAGACACGCCGUUACCGCGGGGCUCGGCGCCGGACGCGCCGCAGUGUUGAUGUUGGUAUUCACCCACGAAUACCUGCCGAAAAUAGCACUGGUCCUUCUUUAUCGUGGCUCCACUAUUCAGUGUGACCCCUGAAACAAAGAAAGGAUGGUUAUGGAGGAGCGGGGGUCUAGAGAUAGGGGCGGCGGGGCCCCUGCCACAGCCAACGGCACGGAGAGGAGGCAGAUAUUCGUGGAGCUAGGAGAGCAGAACUUCGACGCCAUCCGCCUCUCGGCCUACAGGACAGCCUGCAAGCUGAGAUACGUCCAAAAGAAGUGCAACUUGCACCUGGUGGACGUGUACCACGUGAUCGAGGCGGUGCGGGACGUGGGGCUGAACGCGGUGGAGCUCGCCGCCGGCAUCUCCAACACGCGGCUGGAGAACCUGGUGUCGCUGCUCUUCAACCAGCUGGCCAAGAGGCUGCCCACCACCCACACUGUGGACCCCCGCCACAGCACCGCCCUGCUGGUCGACUUCCUGCUGGCCGCCGUCGACAGUGAGGCCGGUGGGCGGCUCACCGUGCUCUCAGUCAAGGCCAUGCUGGCCAUGCUGUGUGGAGGGAAGCUCCUGGACAAGCUGCGCUAUGUGUUCUCCCUGGUGUCGGACUCCAACGGCGUGCUGACUCCGUCCAAGUUCGAGUCCUUCCUGCGGGAGGCCCUGAAGCUGCCCACCGCCGUGCACGAGGGGCCCUCCUUCGGCUACACACACAGCGCGGCCCGCUCCUGCUUCCCACAACACAAGAGAGUGACCCUGAACAUGUUCCUGGACAUCGUGGCCGACCCCCCUCCCCAGUGCCUCCUGUGGGUGCCUCUGAUGCACAGGCUGGCCGACGUGGAGCAUGUGUACCACCCGGUGACGUGCUCCUUCUGCCGUAGCCACGGCAUCACCGGCUUCCGCUACCGCUGCCUCCGUUGCCGUGGUUACCAGCUCUGCCAGGACUGCUUCUGGCAAGGCAACGCCAGCGGUUCCCACAGCAACCAGCAUCAGAUGAAGGAGCACACAUCCUGGAAGUCCUCAGCAUCAAAGCUGGGCCGCGCGCUCAGCCGGACCCUGGGCUGUGUGUCCUCCAGAGAGCCCCCCCGGCCCACCUACCCCGAGGAGCCCGAGAGGACCCUCAACAUGGCCAACAUCGUCCCUGCUCGCCCGGCGGUGAACCCUAGCGAGGCCAUGUUGGUGUCCACAGCCGCCCCAAGCUCUCCUAAAAGCUUGCCCGCCGCUCGCCGCAUGAACGAGGAGCACGCUCUGAUCGCAGCCUACGUCAACCGCCUGCAGACCAGCCCCCCGGCCCUGGACAGUCCCAGCCGGCAGGACGAGGAGCACAAGCUCAUCGCCCGCUAUGCCACGCGCCUGGCCGAGACGGACCACCCCGGGGCCAUACCCAACAGGAGUAUCAACUUUGAUGUGAACAAACAGCAGAGGGAGCUAAUCGCCCAGCUGGAAAGAAAGAACCGGGAGAUCCUGGAGGAGAUCCAGCGGCUGCGCACGGAGCACGACGCGGCGUGCGCGCCCAGCCCCGACAAGGGCUGCACCAACCCCGCACUGCUGGCCGAGCUCCGGCUGCUCAGGCAGAGGAAGGAUGAGCUGGAGCAGAGAAUGUCUUCCCUGCAGGAGAGCAGGAGGGAGCUGAUGGUACAGCUAGAGGGACUGAUGAAGCUCCUCAAGGACGAGGAGCAGAGACAGGCAGCACAGGCAGCUGGCUCCUCCCAGCCCUCUCCCUCUCGGCCAAUCCCAGUGGCCACCCGCUCGCCGGGCCCCUCCCCUCCCCUGACGCACCCCCACCACGCCCCUCAGGACUCCCUCGCCGGCGUGGGGGGGGAUGUGCGCGACGCCUUCGCCCACGGCCCACAGUACGCUGGGAUAGGCUCCAGCCCCACGCAACCCUGGCCAGGAAUGAGCUGGACCCAGACGCAACCUGAGGAACGACCUGCUAGUGGCGGCCGACUCCAUCACCUCCACCGUGUCCUCCCUGGUGAAGGAGCUGCACUCUGAUGAAGGUCGGGAGGAAGAGGAGAGACUGCUGAACGGGAAGGACAGAGGUUAAGGUGAACACCAGAAGCAAAGUAUGCUGCCAAGUCACUCUACUGUAAGGUUCACCCACAGCCAAAGAAGACAUAUGUAUUAUAUACAUAAUCGGCAGCCAAUGGCAUUGGUGCUCCACUGCCAAUCAACGAAUCAUGAUGCUGGACACCAACUGACCCCGCCGCCCCUUCCUUCCCCAUUAAGCUCCCACCUACUGAUGUGUGACUGUGAUUGCGUUGUGUCUCAUCACUGUUUUGUGUGGUUUUUAGUUUGGCUUUUGGAUCUUGAUUUGAUCGAACGCAGCUUAUUUGAGGAUUCCUAAAUCCUGCUGGUUGGUGCUGUAGUCGUGCGCUUUGUGUUUAGAAGCUGUUGGUGGCUUGUGGAAGUGAGAGGGAGAGAGGACGGACACAUUAAGAGAGGGUUGCUCUGACAUUUGAAAAAAUGGAAGUGUACAGAAAAUGUCGAGAGAUGUUGUGAUGGUGCUGAGGUGAGGGACUCCAAGGACAGAAGGAAAUGGGUUCAUGGAGAAAUGGCUAUCAGAGUUUUAAAAUGUUUCAUGUAAUCGGCACUGUGUGCUCAGUAUUUAUUGCCUUGCUUUUGAUUCUGAGUUUGAUUUUGACUUUGGACACUUAGUCAGUGUGUUAAUGUGGAUCCGCUGAUUUUUGCCUGUUUUGUAUGUGCAUGUGUGUGUGUGUGUGUGUGUGUGUGUGUGUGUGUGUGUGUGUGUGUGUGCCCGCGUAGAGUAUUGUAUGGAUGAGACUUCUCCCACUGGUUCUGGUGGCCACAUUGUUUCCUAGGACUACCAGUUAGAGGUAACACCGGUACUAACAGAACAGAGCGCGGCCCAGCUUUCUUACGCAAUCUCACUAAUCAGAUUUAAGAUUAGCCUAAAGUCUGAUGGGAGAUGAGGUCAAAUCUGUGUAAACAAGGCUUUGUUUAACCUCAAUUUGUUUCAUCCAAUCAUGUUGCUAUAGACAGGGGAAAUGCACCUUUUAAAAUGGAAAUGUUUUCUUCUGUACAAUAUCUCUGUGCCGUCUCCCCCCAGAAGUUAUGCUGUAACGCAGUAGGGUGGUUGGAUCCCAGAUCAGAAAAACACUGGAUGAUGGAUUAUUUUUGUAUAUACUUGCAAAUAAUUGCUUGAAAGGCCCGUUUUACAAGCAGGUGUGAGGUUGGUCAUUAUGAGCCGUUCUAAAACCCAUCACCCUGUGACAACCCGAGUGGAUCCACCGUCCGUGGAUGACCUCCCCAGUGGGUGGGGAUGAUUGGUCAGACAUCUGGGUGGACCCUCAAUCACUAUUUUGUCUCACACCUGGUUGUAAUAUAGGCAUCCUCUAGGCCAGACAGCUUGCACAUACCCAUCAUGCACCUCCGUUGAGUCUGUUGAGUUGAUCUAUACUUCUCACCACACGACAACUGCAUGAGUGAAUGUCUUCUAAACAUCCCAACAAUCAAUUAUUGGAUUGCUCUUCAACCAACUGCUCCCCAGACAAAGGCUAUAAUGCGUUCAGCUCGCCUGGACAGCAGAAGCCAGGAUUCUCCUUGAGGUGUUGUCUAUUUUACACCAAAUAACCGACUGAAUGAAUAAACCGGUGACGGAAAUAAUCAGUGAACAAAUGACUGAGUUAAUGAUUUUAUGAGUACUUCGGUGUGUGUGUGUGUGCAUGUGAAAGUACCAACCUGACCUAAAGGCCCUGCAGGUCUCCCAUGUUAGGUACAUUGUCAUUUGAAGUGUGGAUCGCUGUUUCUUCUAUAAAUAAAUAUUAUUUCACACCAACCCUUGUUACUGUUCAUCCGUCUACUUUAUGUUAAUCAGGGCCUUCAGAAAGAGCCAUAAAUUCUCCCAACAUUUGUCAAUUAUUUAAAGCUCAAAUCGAACUCAUUACAAGGCUAUAACACAGGUUUUAUUCAAAGCUGAGUCAUAUCGUUGGGGGUGUUUUAAAUGGGAAAGGGGAUUCAUAUUUUAUCAAUAAUCUCAGAAAUUAUCAAAUGUUGAAAUUAUAUAUUUAUGAUAUAUUAUGAUCUUUUGGAAUGAAGUUCUUCUUUCAGACUAACUAGUGUAAACACGUUCCGCUAUCUAUUGUUAUUCUGUGGAGGGAACAGGGACUGCUGGAGGCCGAAUGCUCUAGUGGAGACGAUCUCUUCCCAGUACAAUAGUUUCAGCUCAGGUGAAGUGGCACCUGACCUGGCGUCACAACACCAUCGAUAUCCACCCAUACGUCGGCAGUGUCAACGAGAGGACAGACCUCAGCUUUGGGGCCCCCAGACAGACACUCCCCCCUCUCCGUGCUGCCCGUUUGGGACCCUUGGGAGGGUGGAUGAGCGCAGGUUAAGCCAGCAGUUUCAGUCAGUCUUACCUCCUGCAGGAACCUGCCAGCAUUGCCGGCAUUCAUGCGCCAAGCUUUUCCAUCCCUGUCUUAUGGGGGAGCAUAGUGAUGACAUGCAUGUCCUCUUCACACACAUUGGACAUGCUUUUAUUGAUGUUCUUGACAGGCAGCAUUUCUUCGCUCUGGGAGACACUCAUUUUUGAAAUUGCUGCAUACCUCCCUUCAACUCUCGAGAAACGUUGUGUAUGAAAGCUUGAACGUUUAUUUAUACAAUCUAUCUGACCAUAACUUCCCCAUUUAUUCUCACUAAUCAUCAGUGAACAGACAUGGCUUGAGAACAGGGGAUUUUCAGACCUUUUUUUACCCAUUUUUGUUACCAAUUGAGGUUAGAGGACUCAACUUGUCCUGACCUGUUUUUUAUGAAGUUGAGCUUCACUUGACAACCGCACGAGUGAGUCAUCUGAGCAGCAGUAGAACUGUAGAGCAAGUCUUCCUAUUGUGUCUUCAU